rnacentral:rRNA from 1 species
AUUGAACGCUGGCGGCAGGCUUAACACAUGCAAGUCGAACGAGUGGCGGACGGGUGAGUAAUGCUUGGGAAUCUAGCUUAUGGAGGGGGAUAACUACGGGAAACUGUAGCUAAUACCGCGUACCAUAGGAUGAGCCCAAGUGGGAUAAGGUAGUUGGUGAGGUAAAGGCUCACCAAGCCGACGAUCUCUAGCUGGUCUGAGAGGAUGACCGGCCACGCUGGGACGGAGCCACGGCCCAGACUCCGACGGGGGGAAGCAGUGGGGAAUAUUGCGAAAUGGGGACAACCCUGACGCAGCCAUGCCGCGGGAAUGAAAAAGGCCUUAGGGUUGUAAAGUACUUUCAGCGGGGAGGCGUUACCCGCAGAAGAAGCACCGGCUAACUCCGUGCCAGCAGCCGCGGUAAUAC